rnacentral:rRNA from 1 species
CCUACGGGAGGCAGCAGUGGGGAAUAUUGGUCAAUGGGCGUAAGCCUGAACCAGCCAAGUCGCGUGAGGGAUGAAGGUUCUCUGGAUCGUAAGCCUCGUUUAUAAGGGAAUAAAGGGUGGGACGUGUCCUGUUUUGUAUGUACCUUAUGAAUAAGGAUCGGCUAACUCCGUGCCAGCAGCCGCGGUAAUACGGAGUAUCCGAGCGUUAUCCGGAUUUAUGGGGUUUAAGGGGUGCGUAGGCGGCCUUUUAAGUCCGAGGUGAAAGUCUGUGGCUCAACCAUAAAAUUGCCGUUGAAACUGGGGGGCUUGAGUAUGUUUGAGGCAGGCGGAAUGCGUGGUGUAGCGGUGAAAUGCUUAGAUAUCACGCAGAACCCCGAUUGCGAAGGCAGCCUGCCAAGCCAUGACUGACGCUGAUGCACGAAAGCGUGGGGAGCAAACAGGAUUAGAUACCCCGGUAGUC